AGCCUUCUGUAUCCGUGCUGAGAUUUCGUCACACACAAACCACAAGGGCUGAGAAGACUUCCAAGAUUAAGUGAAGCG
rnacentral:pre_miRNA from 1 species